GUUCGGACUGAGCUGGGGCGGGCGCGGCUCCGGACCGCGCGCCGCUUUGCCUGCGGCCCCCGCGAGAGCGCCCCGCGCGCGCCCCCGGACCCGCUGGGGUCUUGUGGCCCCGCCCCCGCCCCGCCCCCGGCGCUCUCCGAAGUGCUGACGCUUUGGUCCGGUGGCCCUGGGUCCACUCGGCCUCCCUUCACAUCCCACAGACUCUCCAGGCACUGGCAAAGCUUUGCUCUCCCAAGAGCUGGAACUAGAACCAGGGAAUCAGGUUGGUCCUGGAAGUUACUAUGUAGCCUAGGCAGACAAAGAACUGAUGACAACCUUCUUGAGUCUCCUGCUAAACUGGAGGAUUAGUGUGAGCUAUGCCCAGUUAGUUCUUGUCUUCCCACGGCAUUUUCUAUAUUGCAUUCCUUUUGUACCCACACAGUUCUGAACUGGCUUCUCCCACCCUAAGGCCUAGGUCCUUCCUCUUGUCCUCAGAGCUGGAUUCUUGAAACCUUUUUGGUUGCUUCUCUUCCUUCCACCCACUUUGGGUCUAGCCGUGCUUUCUUCCUGGUUCUGUAUUAGGUUUUCUCACACAACAUGGACUAUCAAAGCUGGGACCCCAGCUUUGGUGGCUCAGAGUGCCUCCCUGCCCUUCACGUAAGUCGAACAUGACAAAUGCUCUACAGUUUGUAUAGCUCCACUUGCAAAUCUUGUCUCAUUUCUCUUCCCAGCAAGAAGCUAUAGAUGCCUACCGUACAGUACUCAAUCUCACUGCUUUGGGCCUGAGAACAUUCUAGGACCUAAAACCAGAGGCCUUGGUUGCCUCUCCCUUCCCUGUCACUGAUACUUUGGUCACUUAAAUUUUCUGUUCUGGUUGGGGCCUCUUACACUAGGCCCUACCCAAACCGUCUGCUAUUAUGGCACCUUCCUCCUUCCCAGGAGAAUGGCCUUGCCUAAUUAUCACCGUUAAUGUGUGCUUGUCUCAGUGGGCAGCAUCCCCAGGAGGACAGAAGUGUGUGAGUAUGUAGGAGAGUUCCCUCUCAUAGACCCUCUGCCCAAGAACAAAGGCAUCUCAGCUUCUCCAGCCAAGUCAAAGCUACGUGAGAAGCCGAGAGGGAGGCCAGCCUUAGUAGAAAGUAGGCCAGCAGAAGUUUGGAGGCAGAGCCAGGAAUGAGACGAGUCCUAGAGUAAAGCUCCCUUUCUGUUUAUAGAGCAGACUGUGAUUUUCUUUGGCUUUGCCUGAGCCCUUCUCGCACCAGGAACACCCAUGUGCAUGGCACUCUGGCCAGAUGGUACAAGACGAGCCAGUAUCCAGACUCAGGCUUGGCUGUAGCUUCCUUAACUGUGUGUAAAGGGCACACAUACAUUCUUAGCACAUCAUAAAGAAUGGAUACAGUACCCUGGAUCUCAGUAGGCUGCCCGGUGCUACUGUGAGGUGGCACCCAGGAACUGGUCCUGGUACCCUGUAUGGUUUGGGCUGACUGACUUUUGCUUGAUUCUCACCAAAUUCUAGGGCUAGCACACCAGAUAUACCAGUUCAACAGCCUCCUCUAUCCAAGGGAGACCUCUGACUCUUCACUGCAACAGACCUGACAUGGCCUGUUCUACCCAGGUUCAGCCACAGGAGCCCAGGUCCCAGACCUCCCACAAGAUAGACUACACAACACAGUUUUACUCAGACAGGAUCAGACAUUUAUAAAACAGGUAAGUAUUCACACACUGUAGGAGAAACAACCUUCCCAGCAAUGGGGAAUGCUGUAAAGUGCUCUUGCCUGCAACCAUCUCUUCCCCAUGCUCGGGCCCAGGAGCAGGACAUGGGGCACUGUUCUGUGACAGUCCUCAGGGCCACUCAGGCUAGGCAAAAGGAGGCAUGAAGUCAUUCCAGGGCUCCAAGACACUCUAUCCCACAGCUGUGGAAUAGUCUGCUCCAUUCACUGGAAGGCUGUCCUGGAAAUGGGCCAACAUGUCAAGGAGGUGGAAGGACAGAUGACCUUGCCAACUUGUACCUUGAGGAGAGAGCCAUCAUCAAAAAAGCAGAGAAGGCCAUUGUCCCCAUAGCUGAAGAUGUUGCAAAAUAAAUACUGGCCCCAGAAUAAGCCUUUGCUCCUCUGGGACCAGUUCUCCAGACGCAUUCUACUGUCCCUCCAGCAAGAGCCUUUGGCCCUUUCCUCUUGGCCUGGGGCUAGGGACAGGGAGGCCACACCCCAUGACUCUGAACAUGGCAUCACAGAUGCCGUUUCUUCACACAAUCGUAGGAUGCUUCUAGUCAGGAUGAUGAACAUAAACAGUUGGACUAAAGGCAGCUCUCUGCUGAGAAAACCUGAGGCCAUCUCAAAAAGAAGCCUGUCAGAUGUGCUAGACAGCUGGAGGGGGGAGCCUGACCCCAGGGUUCUGGUCUGACACAAAAAAAGGCCAGGGCCAAGGGCAUUAACAACUCUGAGGCUAGGAAAGGUCACAGGGGAGGUAGAGAGGAAAAGGCCCAGAGGCCAGCUUAAUGUUACAUGUGAGAA
rnacentral:sRNA from 1 species